rnacentral:rRNA from 1 species
UUGGCGGACGGGGUGAGUAACGCGUGGGGGAACCUGCCCUGUACAGGGGGAUAACACUUAGAAAUAGGUGCUAAUACCGCAUAAGCGCACAGUAUCGCAUGAUACAGUGUGAAAAACUCCGGUGGUACAGGAUGGACCCGCGUCUGAUUAGCUGGUUGGCGGGGUAACGGCCCACCAAGGCGACGAUCAGUAGCCGGCCUGAGAGGGUGAACGGCCACAUUGGGACUGAGACACGGCCCAAACUCCUACGGGAGGCAGCAG